GACGAACGCUGGCGGCGUGCUUAACACAUGCAAGUCGAGCGGUAAGGCCCUUUCGGGGGUACGACGAGCGGCGAACGGGUGAGUAACACGUGGGUGACCUGCCCUCAGCUCUGGGAUAAGCCUGGGAAACCGGGUCUAAUACUGGAUAUGACUCCAUGACGCAUGUUGUGGGGUGGAAAGCCUUGUGCGGCUGAGGAUGGGCCCGCGGCCUGUCAGCUUGUUGGUGGGGUGAGGCCUACCAAGGCGACGACGGGUAGCCGGCCUGAGAGGGCGACCGGCCACACUGGGACUGAGACACGGCCCAGACUCCUACGGGAGGCAGCAGUGGGGAAUCUUGCGCAAUGGGCGAAAGCCUGACGCAGCGACGCCGCGUGAGGGAUGACGGCCUCGGUUGUAAC
rnacentral:rRNA from 1 species